AGAGUUUGAUCCUGGCUCAGGAUGAACGCUAGCUACAGGCUUAACACAUGCAAGUCGAGGGGCAGCAUGAACUUAGCUUGCUAAGUUUGAUGGCGACCGGCGCACGGGUGAGUAACACGUAUCCAACCUGCCUAUGACUCGGGGAUAGCCUUUCGAAAGAAAGAUUAAUACCCGAUGGCAUAGUUCUUCCGCAUGGUGGAACUAUUAAAGAAUUUCGGUCAUUGAUGGGGAUGCGUUCCAUUAGG
rnacentral:rRNA from 1 species